ensembl:lncRNA
GGCUGUGGCUCUCCAGGACCAAUGCUCGCCACCCCUGGUCUAGACAGUGUACAAAUAUAUGACAUUUUUAUGGUGGUCUGUCAGUUAUUAUUUAUAUGAAAACAGAGGACGACUGAAGUAUGAACAAAAUGCAACAAUACUGAGAUGUUGCACAAUGCAGGUUUAUGCCGAGAAUCAACCUUGGUGGCAUCUAAUGCCAUUCAAAGUCAUAGAUCAGAUGGAAUUCUGGAAAGAGGGUGCAAAGAAAAAGCAUCAGCCUGAAUACCCUCCUGGUGUUUCUUAUCAGAGAACUUGUCAGAGAACCGAUACAAAGUCCCCAGGGGACUGUCGGGACCUUUUUCAGCUAGUGCAUGUUAAAGGUGAAGAUUUGUAAUUUGUGUUUUAAAAAGAAAAUGUUGAACAACUAAAAAAAGAAUAUUAUCAGGACAAUUUGGAAGAGGC